CCUACGGGAGGCAGCAGUGGGGAAUUUUGGACAAUGGGGGAAACCCUGAUCCAGCAAUGCCGCGUGUGCGAAGAAGGCCUUCGGGUUGUAAAGCACUUUUAUUCGGAGAGAAAUCCCUUGGGCUAAUACCCUGAGGGUCUGACGGUACCGGAUGAAUAAGCGCCGGCUAACUACGUGCCAGCAGCCGCGGUAAUACGUAGGGCGCGAGCGUUAAUCGGAAUUACUGGGCGUAAAGCGUGCGCAGGCGGUUUUGUAAGACAGAUGUGAAAGCCCCGGGCUCAACCUGGGAAUUGCAUUUGUGACUGCAAGGCUAGAGUGUGUCAGAGGGAGGUGGAAUUCCGCGUGUAGCAGUGAAAUGCGUAGAGAUGCGGAGGAACACCGAUGGCGAAGGCAGCCUCCUGGGAUAACACUGACGCUCAUGCACGAAAGCGUGGGGAGCAAACAGGAUUAGAUACCCUGGUAGUCCAGCCCUAAACGAUGUCAACUAGUUGUCGGGAAUUAAAUUUCUUGGUAACGCAGCUAACGCGUGAAGUUGACCGCCUGGGGAGUACGGCCGCAAGGUUAAAACUCAAAGGAAUUGACGG
rnacentral:rRNA from 1 species